rnacentral:rRNA from 1 species
UACAGAGGUCCCAAGCGUUGUUCGGAUUUAUUGGGCGUAAAGGGUGCGUAGGCGGCGGAGUAAGUUGGGUGUGAAAUCCCGGGGCUCAACCUCGGAAUGGCAUUCGAUACUGCUUCGCUCGAGUACUGGAGAGGAGGCUGGAAUUUACGGUGUAGCAGUGAAAUGCGUAGAUAUCGUAAGGAAGGCCGGUGGCGAAAGCGAGCCUCUGGACAGUUACUGACGCUGAUGCACGAAGGCCAGGGGAGCAAACGGG